UGAACGCUAGCGGCAGGCCUAACACAUGCAAGUCGAGGGGUAACAGGGAAGUUCGCUUCCGCUGACGACCGGCGCACGGGUGAGUAUCGCGUUUGUAACCUACCUUUAACUGGAAGAUAGCCCGAAGAAAUUCGGAUUAAUACUCCAUAACACUAUAGUUUGGCAUCAUUUUAUAGUUAAAGCUCCGGCGGUUAAAGAUGGGCAUGCGUAACAUUAGCUAGUUGGUGAGGUAAGAGCUCACCAAGGCUACGAUGUUUAGGGGGUCUGAGAGGAUGGUCCCCCACACUGGUACUGAGACACGGACCAGACUCCUACGGGAGGCAGCAGUGAGGAAUAUUGGUCAAUGGGCGAAAGCCUGAACCAGCCAUGCCGCGUGAAGGAUGACGGCGCUACGCGUUGUAAACUUCUUUUAUACGAGAAGAAACCACUCUACGUGUAGAGUGCUGACGGUAUCGUAUGAAUAAGCAUCGGCUAACUCC
rnacentral:rRNA from 1 species